UGUUGGGAUUAAAGGCAUGUGUCACUACUGCCUGGCUGCUUUUAGAUAUUCUAUCCCUAUGUCUCAUCUAGAAGGUUCCCCAGUCUCUAGGCUAGCUGGCAAGAACAUGGUGUAACAGCUUCCAUCUCUCUGUGACAUAAGAUGGUUAGUGAAGAUCAGAACUUCCUUCCCAGGGGUGUCACUCAGGUUACCUCCACCUGGGGAACCUUUUAAAAGAACAGUCUUCAUAGCAGGCCUUGAACUUUUUAUGGGGUGUAGAGAGUGGUAUCUCAGACAAGGUCUCUUUGUGUUUCUUACAUUAGUCCUGAUCUUACAACCCUCCCGACACAGCCUCCCAAGUUUAGAAUUACAAGUGCGAACCACCAAUCAAUCUGGCUAGGAACCUUUGUACAGUACAUCCCCACUUUGAGGUGAGCUGGUGCCUUACUGUACACAUUUAUCUUUUUAACAAAGCAAUACACACCCUUGGGAAAAGAAUGGAGAUUAGAAAAAAGAGUGAAAAUGGCUUCUCCUGUGUCCUACUCACAACUGUUCCCACAGAGGCUGCUGUUGAAGCUGAGAUUCGCCUCUACUGAGUUCCGUCCCUCCAUCUGAGUGCAGCUUUAUAGACUACAGGUGCCCUUCCUUUACUAAUUAGUGGUACCAACCACGCCCAGCUUGCACUCCAAGGAACCAUGCAUCUAUAGCUACAUGCAUGGACAUACCGCCUCUCUUUAAAGGCCACGUUCUAUUAAGCACUUCCUCCCCAGCUGUCAUGUGACAGGCGAUUUCCCACAGGUAACCUCUGUUCACACAGGAAGGAUGAAUUCUCUAGAGUGUGGUGCUCUGUCGAAGGCUGCCGCUUGGUCGAUAGGCUGCGGUCAUGGCCCACACCAUUCCAGAUCUCUGCUGUCUGGGGCACAAGGAGGACAUCUCACUGUCGUCUGUUCAGCAGCCUAUUACAGGGCCCUGCCACCCAUCACUGAAAGGACAGGAAUCUCUGUAGGCUGUGGAAGUCCCAGAGGCAGUGCAGGUGGCAGAAACAAGCCUGUAAGCUCAAUUCUUGAGAGGCUGAGGCAGGAGCAUCACCAUGGGUUUGAGGCCAGCUGGGAUACAAAUUGAGUUCAAGUCCAGCCGGAGUUACAGAGUGAUACUAUGUCUCAAAAAAAUAAAAUAAAAAAUCAAGGUGU